AUGCUCUUCCUGAUUAUUCUAUCUUUAUUUCAUUCAUAGAAAACAUAUCCAAUCCCAAAUCCAUUUAUUGUUCUGGUACCCAAUCGAACUAGAAUAAUAAAAGCUAGAUACAAAGAAAAUACCUUUUGCUACCAAAGCUUCUGGAUUUCCAUUUGGAAGAUGGAGAAUUUUGUAUAGAUGUCUCUUUAUUGGACCCUUUAUUAUGACGUUUUUGAAGGUUUAAAAAUACCAUCUUGGACAACAUUUAGAGAAUCACUUGGAAGAUGGAGAAUUUUGUAUAGAUGUCUCUCUAUUGGACCCUUUAUUAUGAUGUUUACCACAGCAAAGUGAGAAGAGUGAAUAGUUUCCAUUUUCACUUUUAUUACUUUUUUUUGUUAUCUUAUCUUUUUGUAAUCACAGAUGGAGAGUGGGAUGUGAGAACCGAAGUGUUUUAAAGAAGCUCGAUCACUCUUUCAAUAGUUUAUAUAGAACUUCUCUGCCGCCCAGUGAUACUUGACAGCUUGACGCCCAUAACAUAGCACAACACUCAUUACCUAUAUUUCAUGUCCUUGUAAAGCGCCACCACAAAGUAAAUCUCAGACUAGCUCAAAUUUAGGAAAUAUGGACGGAAAUCAUUCCAUAUCAAUAAAGGAAAUUUCUUAAUAUUAUUUCCCUACAUCUAUGAACUGUUUGUCAGGCUCUCUGUCCUUGUACAUGCUCAUUGAUGCAAUCUUGUAAUGCCUAAUAUUUGUAAGUCAUAUCCUCUAAAAUCAACAAAUUAGGUAAACUUCUAAUUCUUUGACCUGAUUGGUAAUCCUCUUAUUCAUCUUUAUUGAGUAUUGCUCCUAAUUGUGUUACCUUUAAGUUCAUUUCCCAUGGAUUUACUUAUUUUGGGCAUCCAAUUUCUUCAAGCAUUGCAUUGGAAGCAAUCAAACUAUACAAAUAUGCUUGUGCUGAAUAUUUUCUUACACUUUAAGUAAUAAAGGUUUUGAUAUGGACUUGGAUUUUUUUAAUGAAUCAUAUUUUUGGAGAGAUAUUUUAUGCUUUUUAAGUUAUAUAUAGCUCAUUUAUUACCUAAGUUUAGUUCAUUUUUGAGGAGGUACUUUAUGAUUUCAAGUUAUAUAUGGCUCAUUUAUUACCAAAUUUUGGUUCCUUCAUAUCUACUUUGUUUAAUGAAUUUGAUUAUCCAGAUAUGGGAAAAGGCUUGAUUCUUGGGACUUUUACCAGUUUGUAAUGUGGACAGAUCAGGUUCUUUGGCCCUUUAUGUUCGUUGUUAUUGUGUCAUUACUUAUGUUUUUCUCAUUUGCAUUUAAGUUUCAACCUCUUAUCCAACCUGUACAAAAGGAAAAGCAAAAAAGAUGAAGUGAUUUAAGGUUAAAAAUUUUCCCAAUUUUUUUUAUGUGAAUAAAUUAUUCAUUACCAAAGAGAGGAAAAAACAAAAGGGGAAAGAAAAGAAAACAAAAGAAUACAUAGGGCCCACCUCAAGAGGUAGGGAAGAAAGAAGUGAGGGGGAGGGUCCCAGAAAAUCCUAAAGAUCUAGAUCACAUAGGUUUCACUAUCCCCUUUUUGGCCAUUAGAUCAUCCAUGAGUUAAGGGUUUUCUUGUUUUUGAUGUAUAUAAUAAGAUGGUGAAGAUAGAAUCAUUGAGUUUCCUUCCUUUAAACUUUUCCAAAAGAAAAUAUGGUUCACCAAAGAGCAAAUCUUUCAAGUCUGAAACAUCUUUCGUCAAGCCACUAUUAGGACCGAGAAGAGUGGCUUCUAGGCCAUCAGCUGGAUUGGCCUCCUUACUUUAAUUUCUCUUCCUUGCCUGCUUCAUAUGAGUGGCUGAAUUGUUGGUGAACCAGAUUGCAUUUAGGCCAUCAGCAUGGAUGAGGUUGUUAAUCUGAAUUGUUGCAUAUUGACCACAAUAGAGUCAUUUCUUCAGUUAUUGUUGUUGCAUUAGUAAUAUGCUAUAGAUUUCAGAAGCACUGGAUAUUCACAACUAGCAAUAAAUGAACUAACUUGGAUAUGAAGACAGAAUGAAAGCUUUUAUGGUCCCUUUUUUUUUUGUAAUACUUGGUGGUUCAAAGCCUAGUACUCUGUGAUCACACAAUCACUUGGAAGCCCACUUGCAAAACAACCUCAGUUACCGGUGCUGACGUCUUCUCUGGUAAAACCGAACCCCUCUUUGUCCUUCUCACUUACAAUGAUAGAUAGGCUCAUAUUCUACUUCUUUUUAUCUAUUUGUAUUUCUUUCUCAUAAAGUCUAUCGUAGAAUAUGUUAACAUGGGUUUUUAUUUAUUUCAAUACACUCUUUUCAUACUUUGAUCUAUUCCUUAAAGAUGGUAAUCAUGUAAAAGUGUAUUGCUUUGCCGCAGUUGUCUCCGUCGUCAGCAUCCCGUCCUUCAUCGCUUUCCAAAUACCCUACUCCUCUGGUAUAUUUCAUUGUGUUCUUAACUUUGGAGCAGUUUUUUUAUUAAAUGUGUAUUCUUUUUUUUUUUUUCCGAGCAGGAAAUGAAAGCUUCACUUGGAAAGAUAAGAGGAAAGUAGUGGGUUGUGGUGUCUUUGAGAUACGAAUCUCCUCUGUGUUUCUUCUCCUUCUGCUAUUGCUUCUCGUAUACCGGAUUACCCAUAUCAGAUGAGUUCUUCUUUCUCUUUAAUUUUUGUUUUGUUUUGUUUUGAGAAAAUCUUUAAAAAGUGGUGCAAUUUUUCUGAGAUUUUUGUUGUGAAGAACUGAAACGGGUAGCUAUGAUUUUUGAAUUUCUGGUGUGUCUUGGUUGGUCUGCCUCAUAACUUUUGAUUUAAGAAAUUAGGCGGUUUACCUUUUUCUCCCUAUUGUCUCCCAAUUUUUUUGAAUUGGGUUUUGGUCACUUGAUGCCUGAAUCUUUCCUCUAAUUUAUUCUUGACGAUUCAGGGAUUGAUUUGCAGAUCUUAUUUAGAAUUUUUUGCCAUUGCUGUUGUUGUAGCAGUUGAAUUAGAGAACCUGUUUCUUCCCAUAUGUUAUUGAAACUGAAAGUGGAUUUUUUUGUCAACCAAUAUACUAUUCUACUAUUUGAUUUGAUAUUACAAUAUAUGUUUCAUGCUGUCUUUUGUUGACUUGAUCCUUGAAAUUUUACUUGUUUAUUUGAGACACUAGAAGUCUAGAAUUGCUUAUAACCCUUUUCAGUCUCCAGUAAGGUAUUUAAGAGGUUCUUCCAUCAUUUUUUUAGGGUUACAAAAAAACCUCUGACGUUGUCCUCCCCUAAAUUCGUUGAGAAAUCACUCACUGUUUUUAUUGUGGGUUUGGUGGUUUUGAAUACAUUUUUUGGUCAAAAUAAAAACUAGUCUUUCAAAAGAAAUUUGUAGAUUUGCGACCAACUCUUAAUUUUUAUUUUUCAGACUUUUUUACCAUCUUGAUAACAAGGAGUAAAAUAGUCCUUAAAAGAAGAAGAAAAUUUUUGUAGAUGUUCUGAUUGUUGGAGAGAGUGAUUGUACGGAAUGCCUGAUAGUUCACUUUUAGAUCCGAUAGGUAAAGUUAGAUCUUGGAUCCCUUGGAGUGGAAUUGAUUUAUCCAAUAUCUAUAGGGAAGUAUGGAUGCCAGACAAUAUGAUGUAAAUGAUUAGGUAUUGUUUUUCCAAUGAUCGUAGUCCCAAGUACUUUCUGACGAGCUCUGAUGUGAUCUGAUUUAUAGGUAAGCAUCUCUUGUAAAAAUGUGAGCAAAACCAAAUCCUCCUAGAGCCCAAAUUUUCAUUUCUCCUACCUGUUGUCCCCUCUGCUUGGUGCUUCCUCUAAGGGGGUGUAAAUGUGAAACACACUUGACUGAGUUUAGCCUUUUCUAUCAUUGUCAAAGUUGUGGUUGUGUGUUGUGUGGGAAAUGUGUGCAGGCUGUCGAUGAUUCUGUUGUAUUAGAUGGUUGGGAAUAUACCACCAAGGAUGGGAGACGUAUCAAAAUACUACAAGUUUUUCUUUUAGGCUACGGUUGGGUAUGAAGUUGGGGGACAAUACAAUAAUAGAAUUGAUCAAUCAUCUGACAAUACAAUGUUUUCUUCCUCAUACAAAAGGUCCUGUGCUAAUCAAGUGUAGUGCACCCCCAAGUUCUAUGAAUUUACGUUGAUAUUUAGUGUGGCUUUCUAAGAAUUUUUUUUUUCUUUUUGACCUUAAAUUUGUAGUUCUCAAAAAAAUAUCUUAAGGACAUUGCCUGAUGUGGGGAAGAUUUUUCUUUUUCUUUUGAUAACCAGGAUGUUCAAAUCUGACUAUAAUGCUUGUUUUUUUGUCCAAAUCUCUCUCUCUCUCUCUCUCUCUCUCUCUCUCUCUCUCUCUCUCUCUCUCUCUCUCUCUUUCUCUCUCUCUCGAUUUUAUUGCUUUCUAUAUUUAGAUAUCUUUCAUGUUGUAUACUUAUUCUUUUGUAACUCUGAAUAACUUUCUAGAAUUAUCCAAGGGAUUUCCAUCUCUAGACUGUGCAAAUUCUUUUUCUUAUUUGACUGAAUUUUUAAUGUUUUAUGAGUUUAGUUUCUUUUUUUGUGUCCUGGAAACAAGAAAUAAACUGUAAUACAUUGUUUCCAUUAAUUUGGCUUUGAAUUGUAGAUUGGAUGGAAAGAGAGGGUUAUAAAACUUUUAAUCAAGGAACUCAUUCUAAUAUUUUUAACUCUAUUUUCCUUGCUCAUUUAAAUCUUACAAGCUUGUAUUUAUUGAACUAGAAUCAGUUAGAAAUAAGAAGUACCAAGGUUAGAGAUGAGGGAAGAAGAUAGAGGAGAUGAAGGAAGAAGAAGGAGAGAAGAAGAGAGAAAGAGGAGUUACGGUGGGAGCAAAAUUGUGAAUGAGCUCUUGCUCAUCUCACCCAUAUUACAUUCAAAUAUUAGUUUAGGGAAUUACAUAUUCCUCCCUUGGGGAGGUGAAAGAGAAAUAAGGAAAAUAAGAGAAAUUACAUGUAAGGACAACUUAAGAUAAAAUAGUUCCUAAUGUACCCCUAACACAUAUUCUAACACUCCCCCUCAAGCUGGAGAAUAAAUAUCAUGCAUUCCCAACUUGCAUAAGAGGGUACUGAACUGGUGAGGAAUGAGUCCUUUGGUGAAGAUAUCCACCAAUUGAUCACCUGUCCUCACAAAGGGUGUGCAAAUGUUACCAAAAUCAAUCUUCUCCUUGAUGAAAUGCUGGUCUACUUCAAUGUGCUUUGUUCUAUUAUGUUGUACUAGAUUGUGAGCAAUGCUUAUUGUUGCUUUGUUGUCACAGUAGAGUCUCAUAGGUCCUUUAGUGACAUACCCCAACUCGAGAACCAACCGAUGCAACCAAGUGAGCUCACAAACAGUAUGAACCAUUGCUCUGUACUCAGCCUCUGCACUGGAUCUGGCUACAACCGACUGUUUCUUACUUCUCCAUGUAAACAAGUUGCCACCCAUGAAUGUGCAAUAAUCAGAUGUAGAUCUCCUGUCAUAAAUGGAUCCAGCCCAAUCAUCAUCGGAAUAGCCUUCAAUCCUCAAGUGAUUGUUCUUGGCAUUCAAAAUUCCUUUUCCUGGAGAGGACUUCAAGUAUCUGAGGAUAUGGUACACAACAUCCAAGUGCCCACUCUUAGGUGUAUGCAUAAACUGGCUCACAACUCCCACUGCAUAAGAAAUGUCUGUGCGAGUUAGAGAUAGAUAAAUCAGCUUCCCCAAUAGCCUCUAGUAUUUCCCUGCGUCAACAAGGGAAGGGACACAAUCCUCUCCUAGCUUAUAAUUUUGCUUAAUAGGAGAACUUACUGGUUUGCAUCCCAACAUUCCUGUUUUCUUCAACAGAUCUAGAACAAAUUUUCUUUGGCAUACAUUGAUUCCCUUCUUAGAUCUUGACACUUCAAUACCCAAGAAAUAUUUCAAGUGUCUUAGAUCUUUGAUCUCAAAUUAUUUAGCCAAAUAAGCUUUCAGCCUAGUUACCUCCUCAUUAUCAUCUCCAGUCACCACAAUAUCAUCAACAUACACAAUCAAUGCUGUGAUGGUGCCAUUACCUCUCUGGAUAAAUAAUGUGUGAUCUGCUUGACUAUGGGAGUACCCAUUUUUUAGAAUGGCUUGUCUGAACCUCUCAAACCAAGCCUUUGGUGACUGCUUCAGACCAUCUAGUGUCUUUUUUAGGAGAUAUACCUUCCCAUCGGCUCCCAAAAAAUUGAAGCCAGGAGGGGCUGCAUAUACACUUCCUACUAUAAAUCUCCAUGGAGAAAGGCAUUCUUCACAUCUAACUGAUAUAGGGGCCAAUCUCUGUUUGCUGCCACAGAUAAAAGAACUCUUAUAGAGUUAUAUUUGGCCAUAGGAGUAAAUGUCUCCUAAUAGUCAAUCUCAUACACUUGACUGUACCCUUUGGCCACCAAUCUUGCUUUGUACCUCUCAAUAGCACCAUCUGAUUGGUACUUGACCAUGUAGACCCAUCUGCAUCCAACUGGGAUUCUCCCCCUGGGAAGGUCAACCAGUUUCUAGGUACAAUUCUUCUCAAGAGCCAUCAUUUCCUCUGACAUGGCUUGUUUCGACCUAGGGUCUGAUAUAGCCUCAGUAACAGUUUUAGGGAUGGAAGCAGAGGAAAGAGCAGCUGUAAAAGCAACACCUGUAGGAGAGAGAGAAUCAUAGGAAACAAAUUACACUAUAGGAUUAGUACAAACUCUCUUACCCUUAUGAACAGAAAUAGGAAGAUCCAACUCCAAAUGAGGGGAGGAGAUGUUACCUGACUAAGGAAGAGAAAGCUCAGGAUGUGGAGACAAAGAGGACUCUUGGUAGGUCUUCUUUGUCCUUCUUGUGUACACAAUAACAGGAGCCUUCUCUAUAUAAAGUUCAUCCACAGUAGCAACAUCAUCCACCUCUUUAUGAUUACCAAUAUCAAAGGAAAAAAGAAUAAGAAGCAAUGGGGUAAGAAAUGGAAUGGCAUCAGCAGCCUUUUCACCUUCAUUUCAAUUCUCCCCCUUAAGAGGAUGCUAAUGAGGUGCAAAAUAAGGGACAAACUCAAGAAAGAUGACACCUUUGGAAAGAAAUCACCUAUGAGAUGAAGGGUGAUAACACUUGUAGCCUUCGGUAGUGGAAGAAUACCCAAGGAAGAGGCAUUUUAGAGCCUUGGGAUCAAGUUUGGUGCGGGAGGAUUUGUUAACAUGCAUAUAAUAAACACAACCAAACACCUUUGGAAGAAGAGUGAAAGCAGGAGAUUGAGGAGUGCAAUUGGGUUUUGAGACCCAAGAAUAUUUAUAGGCAUGCAAUUAAUGAGGAAAGUUACAGUAAGAAUAACUUCAGACCAAAAAGGCACAUGCAUACCAAAUAAAAGACUUAUACCAACUUCUAACAAGUAAUGGUUUUUCCUCUCAGCUACCCCAUUCUAUUGGGGUGUAUCAACACAAGCAAGCUGGUGGAUAAUACUAUUGUCAGUAAAAAAGUCUUGUAAACCACCAUACAUGUACUCCCCCCCUUUAUCAGACUGGACAAUUUUGAUCUUGGUUUCAAACUGGGUAUGGACCAUUUGAUAAAAAUUUUUGAAGGCAUCAUAAAUAUCACUCUUAUGCUUCUUCAUAAGAAUAGUCCAAGUACAAUGAGAAAAGUCAUACACAAAAGAAACAAAAUAGCGAUGGCCAAAUAGGGAGGUGGUGGGACAAGGUCCCUAAACAUUAGUAUGCACAAUAUGAAAAGGAACGACAGAUCUAUUACCAUAAUAGAGAUAAGAUGAAUGAUAAUGUUUAGCAAAAGUACAUAGUUCACAAUGAAAUACAUGAGUAGAAGAAAAAGAUGUAAACAAAUGAGGAAACUGUUUCCUCAUAACAACAAAAGAUGGAUGUCCCAAACGCUGAUGCCAAAGCAUCAUAGAGUCUGUAGAGAUAGCAUCACUACGACCACAUGCAUAGGACAUGGUGUAGAUAAAAAAGGUAACCGCAGCUCAAGACGGUAUAGGCCUCCCUCCUCAAGUCCACUGCCAAUAAUCCUCUUCAUCCCCAAAUCCUGAAAAAGGUAAUGAGAAGGAAAAAAUGUGAUACAACAAUUUAAGGUCUUAGUUAAAGUGCUCAUAGACAAUAGGUUCAAGGUAAGGUUAGAGACAUGAAGAACAGAAGUAAGUGAAGUGGAAAAGGUAAUGGGAAUAUUGCCUUUAUUAGAGAUAGAGGAGAAAGUACCAUUAGCUACUCGAACUUUAUCCUUACUAGAGCAAAUAGAGUAGGAGUCAUAGUAAUGGGACAUACCGGUGAUAUGGUUAGUGGCAUUAGACUCAAUAACCUAUGAUGGAGCUGUGGAAGGUGCAGAGGUGGUGACAUGUAUAGCAGAAGCUGAGGCAUCUUGUGAGGUAGACGGGCUAUCAAGCUGAGACAUGAACCAGUGAAGCACUGUAAUAUCAUCCCUAGAGAAGGAGCUAGUAUCUGCCUGUGAGGAGUCUCUAGUAUCAGUCUCUGUCAUAGUAGCAUGGGUCGUAGCCCCUCCUCUGCACCCACCAUGUGUGCCAGUAGAUCCACCACGUAUACUAGGAUGGCCAUGAAGAACCCAACACUUAUCUCGAGUAUGUUCAGGUUUCCCACAAUGAUCACACUAUCGUCUAUCCUUGUCAUCUCCAUGGGAGUCUUUUGACCUCGGCCGCCUCCACGCCAUUCUCUGUGAGAAGUGGAGGAAGGAGCAGAGCGCUCAAGUGAAGGUGUAGAACCCAUGGCACCUCUCCUGGUUUCCUCACUCAGGAGGUAGCUACACACCUCAUCAAGUAUAGGUAGGGGUGACUGGCCCAAAAUCUAUAGUCGGAUCUGCUCAUAUUAUGAAUUUAUCCCACCUACAAGUAUCAGAGCACGCUCUUUUUCAAGAGAUCUAUAGACCUUAGCUUCAUCAUCAGGAUUAGUCAAAUGAAGAUCUCAGUAAUGGUCAUACUCCUCCCAGAGUCCUAUAACAGUGUUAUAGUAGCAAAAAAUGGACUUAGUGCCCUGCUUCAUGAGGAGUUCCUGUUGAAGAAGCUGGGGACCUUCACAGAGUCACCUACCCUAUCACAAGUCCUAGAGACACCAUCCCAAAUAUCCUUAGCAGUUUCCUUCGGUAUAAAUCUCCUACCUAUCUUAGGUUUUAUGAAGAAAAGUAGCCAAGUCAUGACAGUGCAGUUUGUAGUUUCUUAUCUUUGGUACCCGGGGUUUGCGACAGCGGGAGCCUUGAUAGCCCCAGUAAUAUAUCCUAGCUUCCCUCUACUCUAUAAGGAUAGCUUCACAGAGUGUGACCAAUCCAAGUAGUUAGUACUAUCCAACUUCACAAAAGAAAUCUGGGUGUUAGGAUUGUCAAAAAUAAUCGAACUGGGGUUGGUACUACUUAACCCACCCGAUAUAGCUUCCAAAGGUUCCGUGAGAUCAGACAUAAUGUAAGGAUGUCCCUAAACAACACUCCACUGGGGAAUCCAAAGCAAAGGAGAACACCAGCCCCAAAAAAGGUCUUCUUCUCGGAACUUUAAAAAAUAGCAAGCUAGUACCCAUAGAGACUUGAGGCAAAGCCAAUAAAAAAAAACUUUAACUAUGGAGAAUCAUCCAACAACCACAUACAAGCAUCGUAUGAGAGGGAACAUCUAGCAAACACAGCCAAAACAUAAUCUACCAUCCAUUUCAGACCAUAAAAUCUGAAAAAAGGAACCAGGCGAUACCGGGCAGCACAUGGAGAAUGGAGUAGAACUCCAACAACAUAAAAAAUAGGGAGUGAGGCUUGGGGAGUCAAAUAUAGACCCCUGGGUGAUCCUAUUGAGCUAUUCCAAUCUCCCAACCUAGCAUGGAUGAGAGAGAAAAAAAGAAUCAAACUAGGCAGGGGCGGUAAUGCUGUGGAUAGUUUCUUCUCUCUUUGUGAGCUCCAAACUGUCUUUGUAGCCUUUAAAUCUCCCUCCAAGUGUCUUCAACCUGUUUUGACAACUCCAUUAGGCUUUCUUGUAUACAUUUUUACAUAGUAUAGCCUCUAAUGGAACCCUCUUUCUUUUAGGGUUCCAAGAGAGACUUAAAGAAUGGAACUAGAAGGGAUUGGUCGACUCUCAAACCUAUGUAUUGGCUCUGAUACCAAGUUAGAAAUAAGAAGUACCAUGGUUAGAGAUGAGGGAAGAAGAUAGAGGAGACGAAGGAAGAAGAAGGAGAGAAGAAGAGGUAAAGAGGAGUUACGGUGGGAGCAAAAUCGUGAAUGAGCUCUGUUUAUCUCACCCAUAUUACAUUCAAAUAUUAGUUUAGGGAAUUACAUAUUCCUCCCUUAAGGAGGUGAAACAGAAAUAAAGAAACUAAGAGAAAUUAUAUGUAAGGACAACUUAAGAUAAAACAGUUCCUAAUGUACCCCUAAUACACUUAUUCUAAUAGAAUCAUGAAUGCUAGAUACAAAGAGAAUGACUUUUUUCUACCAAAGCUUUUGAUUUUACCUUUACUCAGAAGGGUUCUGAAGGUCCAAUUGAGGGUGGGAUCGGGUAAGGGUAAAGAUUGUCUUUACAAGAGGAGACACAAGUCAAAAUGAGCCCAAAGGUAGAAAUGUUCUAGGCCUUAAGGUCAAACUUCACAUUUCUUAACUUAUGGACAAAGGCAAUAAGGGGGAGUCGAAGGAAUAGAUGGGCUUGAGCCAGGUGGAGUGAACAACAUAUAGGAAUCCUAGGUGGGAAGUCCACAUAUUGAAGAAUUUAAAAGGUUUGGGCCCAAAGGAGACGUAGGGUUGAACAUGAAGGGAGAUGGGGCUGUGGUUGGAGAUAGAGGGGUUGUCAAAGGAAGUGUGGGAGGAGAGGAAGUAAGAGAGCCAUACCUCGCUAACUGAGACCCUACCCUAUUUGCAAGCAAUAUGAUCAGGGCCAAAUCUCCUAUUAUACCAAGAGAAUUUUAGGCAAGACCAUCUAAGGUCAUCAAUGCCGAUGUCCUAAAGACAAAAAUUAAAGGAGUUCACCGAGUUAGAAUCAAUGGACAAGCCACCAAGCUUUUUAUGGCUAUAUUGCACCACAUUGAAGUCACCUCCCCACCCCUAGGGGGAGGAGUUUACCCCAGGAGCAAGGGAUCUCAGGUUAUCCCAGAGGGAGGAUUUAUCAAAGGAGCAGUUGAGGCCAUAGAUGAAGGAAAAGAAAGAGGGGCCACCAUUGGGGUGGGAGAUGGAUAGGUGGAUUAGUUGGGGUGGGAGAUGGAUAGGUGGAUUAGUUGGGGAGAGGAGAAGACAGGGGUGAGCUGAAUCUUAGAAUGGUUCCAAAGGAUCCAGAUGUGGCCAUUGGGACAAGAGGAAUAGUUGGAGAGGAAGGACCAUGAAGGGGCAAUUAAGGAGGCGAUGCGGCAGGCAUUGGGUUCUAAGACUCUCAUCUCAAGGAGGCAGCAAAGGAUGGCUCGAGAGUCCUUGAGACAAGAACGGAUUUUUGCAUGCUCAGUUAGUGACUUAAGGCCCCGAACAUUCCAAAUGGACCAGCAAUUCAUGGAGGGGGAGAAUGGUGGGGGCAACUAAACCUUAAAGAGGCAGCAGGGGAGGACAGGUGGGGUGCAAACUUACAUUUGCACCUACAGUAUUCCAGAACAGCCGGGGAUGGGGGGAGGUAUGGAUGGCAAUCGGCAUGGGUAGAGGAGCGGGAAAGGAGGAGGGGGAGUCGAAGGCUUGGACAUAGAAGGUUUGGUUUUUUACUUUCUGGAGCCAGAGGUUUUGGAAUGAAGGAUGGACUUAGUGGAGGAUCCGAGGAAUGGAUUGGCCAAGACAGAGAUGGGCUGCUUCCGAGCUCUGGAGUUCUUUGAUUUUUUCUUUGGAGCAACAAAUGGGGAUGCACCUAGUUGCAGUGACCUAGUACCCUGAUGGCUGCUCAGCUGGGCAGUGAUCACAGUUGUUGUAGCAAGGGAGGUUGGAGAAGACAUAGCAUGGCCCUGUCAUAAAGAAACUAUAGCAGGGAAAGUUGCAUCAACAAUGGUAAUGCGCAGCCGUAGGGAAGCUACAACGGGGGAAGAUGUUGAAGCCAUAGAAUGGCCUUGCCGAAUUGAAGCUACAGCAUGGGUGAUCACAUUGUCGUAAUAGGGGAAGUUGGAGAAGACGUGGCAUGGCCUUGCCAUAGGGAAGCUACAUCAGGGGAAGUUGUAGGGGUAGUGGGAAGGCCCAGCAGUAAGGAAGCAACAGCUGGGGUAGAUAUUGAAGUCAUGGAGUUGCCUUGUCGUAGGGGAGCUACAGAAGGGUAAGUUGUAGACGCCAUGGCAUGGCCCUACUGUAGGAAGCUACCGCAGGGGGAAGGUCCAAACCAGGGAGGAUAUUAGGAUCACAUGAUGGGGAAGCAGACCUAGCAAUAGCUUGCAGCAAGGGAACCUAUAAACAACUUUAGUUACCUUUGAAUCAUAUUAUUUUUUUUUUAAGGUAAUCUGACAUAUAUAUAUCUUUCUUCUUUGGUGUACCCUACCCCUAAAGUUUAGACUAAUCAUUUUGGAUGCUUUCAGUUAACUUGGGGAUUUUCUUCUUGUACUUUCCUUGUUUUUUCCCCUUAUUAUUUUGUUCAGUUUAUGAGGUGGUCAUGCUUAGCUUGGUGAUGUUAUGGCUUCUAUAUUAUUUCAGAUUCUUAAGUUUACACAUUUUAAUUGAACCUAGAAGAUUUAUACAAGGAUGAAUUUUACUGAAUGAAUCUAUGUGGCUAUCCUCAUCGAAUGAUUGACGAUUCUGUUCCCACCCCCUCCUAUCCCAGGAAAAAAAACUUUUGUAUAAUUAGUCCUGUUUGCUUUGUUUAUGGAAAUGGUUGCUACACUUGCACCAUUCUCUGGGUUCUUCUCUACAGUAUUAUUAAUCAUACAUUGCAUCCGGUGAUACUUACAUCUUUGAACAGGGGGAUCUUCCAUAAGCUUAGUCAAUGAAUCCGUUUGCAGCAUCUUAGAUACCUCUCUCCAAAUGAGAGGAGAAACAUAAAGCAUUUGAGAUAAUUACUAGACAUCUGGAGAGUGGUAAUGGAACUGCGUAGUCUUGAUGUCCAGUUGAGAACCAACAAGUGACAAAACAUAACAGAUCCGAGGAAAAACUUCUCUUGCCUUUAACAUCUAUGGUAUUAAAAAAAAGAAAAAAAGGAAGUAUAGCUCUUGAACCCCUAUUAAAAAAAAUGAUGUGUACUUGGUUGUGAUUAUGCAUUUCAUGGUCAUUUUGAGUUCUGAUUGAAAUAGAUCUUAUUCAUUACAUUAAUUUCUAUUGAUCAGUGAAAUUCCAGGGAGCUUAUGUGUUUCAUCUGCUUGGUGGUCUUAGUUGGAUUAAUUUGUACAAUAUAUGUAUCCAUUUGUAUGCAUAUGACUGUUGAGUCUUAUUUUUCCAUUGCUGAUGUCAUUACAUCAAUGCUAUAGCUGGAUUAGAAAAAUACGAGCAAAGAUUGCUUUCACAAUAUAUAAUGCUCUAAGCAAAAAUAAUCAAUGGCAGCUGUAUAUGAAUAAAGAUGUUAUAAAGUUAUUCUCUGUGGGUUCAGAAUGCUAAAUAAGAGAAGCACUGUUGGCUGCAUUCAAAGAGAUGGUCCAUAACAUUUGUUGGUCGAUAGGAAAUUUUGUAUUCUAAUGAGGUCCAAUGACUAAGGAUAAAGAAAUUGAAGGGGGAGGACCAGAUGAGGUGGUUGGUGUUGGUUAGUACUUAGUAGGAGAUCCACCUAUCCCUUUUAAGGUUCCCUUGCUAACAUAUAGAAGGUUGGCCAGUAGCCAUCUGCACUCCUCUGUGACUUAGGGAGGUACUCUUCUACCUUUUUGAUCAUGUCAAGUCAUUUUGUUCAAUUGAUGGGAAAUUUUAUGCUAGGAUGAAUGUGGUCACAGACAAAACAAAAUGAUUAAUGAAAUGCACUUCCCAUCCCAAUUAUUCAUGGAUGUUAAAUAAAUGGAGUCGCAUAAAUUCCCUUGAUGGUUGGCUUGAUCAUAUGAUUGAAAUCUCACCCACCAGAAGACCAAAAUUUGCAAACAAUAAAAAUUAGGAAUCACUUUACCUUGAUGGUUGGCUAAAAACUGAAAUUUAUAAAACAAUACAUGGGAAGGGGUUGAAGUUACUCGGAGGGCCCUGGAGGAAAUAACCCAAUCUUCUAGAAUCAAGGUGAACUCUUGAACUGAAGCCUGUUGGUCUGGGAAUCCAAAAGAGAAUUUUGUCACAAUAUUUGAGUGCUACGAAGAGGCCAUUAGAAGGGCGGAGUCGGCAAACUCUCACUAUUCAAAAGGAAAAAUAAAAUCGAAGGGAGAAGUGAAACCAGAGAGAAAAGGGAGGGUGCAUACAGCAUACAUGUUUGGAGUUGUGGUUUGUAGCAGUGGUCAGAGUCGCUGGAGUUGCCGGACUGCUGGAGUUGGUUGUUGUGGUUUUUGGCUCUUGCUUCUCUCCGACUCUGUCUCACAAACAGUCAAACUAAUGGAAGAUGGGGAAGGAGUUUGGAAAACCCAUUCCCUAAAUCGAAAUGGUUAAAAGUUAAAUUUGGGUUUUAGUGGAAUUAUUCAAAUUUUAUUCGGUUCGGCCCAUCUUAUUCACAAUUUUUAACCGUAUUCCAAAAAUCCAUGAAUUUUACCUAUUUUUAUUUUAAGAAUGGAUUUAGACAGAAAAAUUCAUAUAAUGCGGAAUAAUUAUAUUCGCUGAAUUAAAUAACUAGGAUCGGACACAGAAGGGCUAAUCAUUUUAUGGUUCACAUGAUUCAUGGUCACACAAUCCAAGUGACAUGACUGAAAAAUAGAGAAAUCAUAAAGAUUCUGAGAUGGAUCUGGCCUAUCUUAGUGUCAUGUUUCCUAGUAAAUGAGGGUGGUCACAAAAUCCAAGCAACAACUUAAGGCAAUUUUCUGUUCCGGUUAUAAACUUUUUUAUUUAGUUGUCUUUACUGGAAAUUUUAUUUUUGUGGUGGUGUGAAUAUUUUGAAAGUCUGAUCUGAUCUUUUUGUUUUCCCUUUCUUUUCCUCUUUUCGUUUUAUCUGGUGGUGCAUAUUUUCAAAUUACCGAUGGGGGUGUUGCCCUCAAUAUUUAUCUCUUCUAUAUUUUUGUUUCUUUGCUUUAACGUCUUUCAGGUAGUCUACAUAUUUAAUAUAAUGGAGUAGAAUCUCCUUUUUAUUGAUGUUGUUUGUUGACAUCCAGAAUAAGUAAUCAGUCUUUUUAACUUAAUUCAGCCAUCUUGUUUAUUUCAGCCCUUAAAUUGGCAGUCGUAAAAAAUGUAUUAAAACUGAACAUAUUCAUUCCUAUUGAUAAUGAUUUGUUAUCAACCUUAUUUUCAUGUAUGUUUAUCUGUUGUACAUAGUUUAGUUCUUCUGUUUUCGAAUUGAAAAAUAAAAACAUCAUUUUCUAUAUCCUUGCUGAUCAGUAUAUAAGUGUACUGUUUACUCUGUUUGUAGGUGUACCUGCAUAUGUUUCUCAACAUCUUCCAGGCUCCUUUGAUAUUGGUGAUGUGUUAAAGUUUUGAGUGUCCAGCUGCAAAUUGCAUGCCUGUGGCACUUUCCUUAACAUGGUUGUAUGCUGAACUUGUAGAGUUAAUGGGAUUCCAAAUGCAAAUCAAUUAGCAUCUCAUGGGGGAAGGGAGGGUGAUCCCUGCUGUACAUGUGCUAUUGAACCAGAUGGAUAUACUGACCACAAUAUCCAAAUUACCUGCUCUUAUCUGGUCCUAGUUGAAGGCUCUUCUUUCCCCAAAACUACUGCUUCGUCAAUAAUAGUGUGGACUCUGGACUGCAUUGUUGUUCAUAUUUUGGACUAGCCCUAUAAUAAAACCCAUAAGAAUUUGAUUAAUAAGUUCUUUAGCAAGAUUUGAGUUCAAAUUCUCUUAUAAAUUUAUGCCUCUGUUAUUAAUCUAAAAAUUUGACUAGUUAUACAUUCAGUGACUACCAUUUAUCAUAAUGUAACCACUACUAGUCCUCUAACCACACUUGUCUUAAAAAUUAAAAAAAAAAAUAAACAAGAAAUUUAGUCCUCCCCUCUUCCUUCUCCUUGUUUUGUUUUGGAAAUUCACUGAACACUUAUUUAUUGGUUUACUCAUGCUUUUGCCUGUCAAAAGAAUAGGGUUUUCAUGAGUUAGCAAAAAAAAAGGGGGGGUUUCAUGCAGCAUUGUUUCUCUCAUCUUAUAUUUGAUAUUUCUGUUAAAACAUGCAAUUUUCUAUCAAUCAUGUUGAUUAACUUACCACUUCUUAAUUGCAUGUAAGCUUGGCCUGGCCUUCAACAAUAAAGACAUUUUUCCCAGGCUCGAAUUAGGCUGCCUGCAUGUUAUAAGGAGGGUGGUGGAGCUUUGCUUGAGUGGUAGUCAUGUGGAUUUACUCAGGAAGUUCUUAUCCAAAAUUGUGCGGUGUCUAGAAGUACUGGUGUGACAGAAAACAGUUAGUGGAGUUACAGAUGAUGCUUCACUUAUAGUCAUGAUUUGUUACCCAUAGUAAUCAUGUUGGAGCUAACUAUGACUCAUUCAUUUAUCCAUUUCUUUAACCUUGUUAUGCUUCUUAUGUUCCAUCAAAUCUAAAACUUGCUAUUGGUCUCAAAAUUUACUGAGAAAGUUACACCUACAGUGGUUUCAUUGAAAAAAAAAUUGUGGAAAUCUCUUCAUAUCAUUAAAAUAGAAGUUGCAUAACUUUCCUCUAUCAGUUUAUUAAAAAUCUCACAAAUAAGAACAAAUAAGUUUUUCUGUUACAAACUGUCUUGGUAUCUUUUUCUUUCUCCUACAUAGAACUCUGUUUUGGUAUCUUGACAGUGUGAAGAUUGCAAAUAAUUGCUGACAUCUCCAAACCUUUGAAACAUGGUGGCAAUAAUAUUAGAUUUUUCAACUCAAGGACCAAUUUUGAUUUAUCAGAUACUAUGAUAUGUGUCAUAAAGUUCAUGAAUUUCAUAUUUUAUCAGCUAGUACAUUUGAAUUACCAUUUUUAAAAUUUUGCUAGUUUUGUUGAUUGACUUUUCUUAUUAAACUUUGUAAAUUGCUCUGGAUUUAUCCCCUUAAUUUUGGAUUAUUGUUCUGAAAAUAUGAUUCUUAUUUUCCUUUUGUCUUUUAGGCUGUUACAAAGGCUAAGUUGGGAUAUGAUUGACUAGAGGUUAAUCCUGAGGAUAUGAUACACUUUGCCAUCGAACGUCCCUAGUUGACUGCAAAUAAAUUGAACUAGACCAAAAGUCUGGACAAUAUUUGGAGGUGAUAUUUCCUUGUUGCAUUGUCAAUAAACCACUUCAUUGCUUCAAGUCAUAACAAAGGUUUAUGUGCAUGUUGAGAAUCUGGGAAACCCUUGUGUGCUUCUCUUGGACUCCUGCAGAGCUGAUGUCAAUUGAAGAUUUCAGGGCUAUGAAAAGGAGAGAUUUACUGCUGCAGCAGUAUUGGAGAAGGGAAGCUGAUGGAACAUAUGUUAUUCUUCACCAUUCAGUGUACCAUAAAUGGUGUCUACCCCAGAAAGGAUAUAUCAGGGCCUGCCUUAAAAGUAAUGUAUGCUUUGAAUUUGGAUAUUGCAAAUGUUCCUUGAGUUUUUCUCCCUUUCUCUUCCUUCUGGGUGAUUCAUAUGUUAACAUAGCAAGGAUUAUAUUUCCUUAUAUUAUGAUUUCCACUACAUUGAAUGUGCUCCAAUUUUGGGCUGGCUAGACUGAUGAAUGUUAUGUAAUUUUUAUCAGUGUAGUGUACUGCAUUUGUGACUAUACAUCACAUACAUGGUACUUGUUUACAAUUUGUGUAAAUGCAUGUAUCUCUUUUUUUUUCCCAGCAAAUAUUGUAAAUUAUAUGAACAUCAUUAGAGGUAUAGUGCAAGAUCAGUAGAAACAAUCUAGCUUCCUGUGUUGUGUAGUGUAUAUGCAGCAUGUUUAUUGGUGGUUGGAACACCACCAUUAGAUGCUUUACCUGAGGCAAUCUUUUAGUCAGAAGUUGGCUGAUAGGUUUCUAGACACCUAAGAAUUAUGGUCAGAAACACAAUACAAACCAGAAUCACAGUGAAUAAAUAAUGACCAGAAUUCAAGAAUAUUUAAUAUCACUAGAUCAGCAACUCAGAUGAUUGUGAAAUUAUGAUAUGAAGUUAAUAAAUAACAAGGAACAACUCUUCUAAAGAUGGGCUCGAUCCAAUGGUUGGAUCUCAAGAACCACCACUGUUACAGAAUUAGUAACUUAAGAUUCUAAAAACUACGAAUGAAGAUGUCUCAGAAAAUAAAGAACUGAGGGAGCUAAGAUUCUGGUCAACAAUAGUUCCUAGGCUAUCAGACAAGAUAUCAAAUUAUCAAGUGAAUCCGAUGGUUAAAAGUUAUUAAAUUUUAUUUCUUAAAGUAGGAUGGAGAAGGAAGAAUGAAGAAGAAGAUAUGACUAAGCAUCCCUCCCAGCCUCAACAGGAAUUCCACCAGCCACUGUUGGCUUCCUGCCAACAUAAUACUGCAUCUCACAGCAAAUCUAAAGCUCUAAGGAUAAAGAAAGGGCUAAAGCCAAAAUCUCAUUAAUCAAAUUUGAGUACAAGGCUGGACCCCCUUACAAACUUAUACAGAAGACUCAAAACAUACCCAAACACUAAAAUGGAAAGGCCUAAACCAAUCCUUAACUAAUAAGGUAACAUAAAGUGACUAUGAAAGUAACUCAAAAUAGGACUGGACUUAUAGAAUCCUAAUCUAGCCUAACUAAAACAUUUGAUAAUUAAAAUAAAGAAAUAAAGGUACUCAACUAAUUGUGUAGUCUUAUCUUCUACUCAUAUUUUAGGCCCAUUGAAGUGGCCCAUUACAAUGAAAAUACAUUGGAUCAAAGGCCCAACACAUACUUGAAGCAACCAAAUCUUAUUCCUAUUAAAAUAAGCCUAGUUGGGUUUUACUUGCAUCAUUGACCUUGUUGAUGAACAUCACAGUCCACUCUUGAGAUAUUGUCCAACAAGAGUGCAUAUUUCCUAUGACUGUCCAAUUUAAUGUUGGACGAGUGGAUAGACUAUUCCAACAAGCUCUAGAAGUUAGAAUUAGAAUACAGGGGAAAAGCCUAAUCUGCAACUGAAACAUGUUUGUUCUAAACUGUCUCUAACUAAACUAUUUCAUAUCAAGAUACAAGUAGAUACAAAUCCUACAACAUUCUUAUAGAUUGCUAGACCUUCUUAAAUUACUGAGAUUACUUGUCAUAUAUUUUGCACGAAUUUUAAGUAACCGUGAGUACUUUUCAUAUAAUUGCAUCGCUUUUAAGUUAUUGAGUGCACUUGUCAUAUAUGAGAUCUGCCACCUUAGCUCAGAUGGUGAUAGCUUUAUCAAAAUCUCAUGAGUCCACAUAAGCAAGGAUGGCAACUAGCCAGCCAAUGGGAAGAGUCACCGACCACUAUAUAAAGAAGGUUUAAACUGAUUUUUAGGGCUCAAACUGAGUGAGAAACUUCAGCAACAUAAGCACAGUGGUUGCAAGCAUAGUCCUGAUCAUGCUCCUCCACUUCUGGCAUCCACCAGUCACUCACACCGUACUCUGACCCAGAAGAUACUGGAUCACCAGCCAUCAGCACCACGGUACCUACAUCA